rnacentral:rRNA from 1 species
UCGAGAAUCUUCGGCAAUGGGCGCAAGCCUGACCGAGCGACGCCGCGUGCGAGAUGAAGGCCUUCGGGUUGUAAAUCGCCGUCAGAGGGGAGGAAAUGCCGGUGGGUUCUCCCACCGGUUUGACCUAUCCUCAGAGGAAGGACGGGCUAAGUUCGUGCCAGCAGCCGCGGUAAGACGAACCGUCCAAACGUUAUUCGGAAUCACUGGGCUUAAAGGGUGCGUAGGCGGUCCGGGAAGUUGGGUGUGAAAGCCCUCGGCUCAACCGAGGAAUUGCGCCCAAAACUGCCGGGCUUGAGGGAGACAUAGGUGAGCGGAACUUAGGGUGGAGCGGUGAAAUGCGUUGAGAUCCUAAGGAACACCAGUAGCGAAAGCGGCUCACUGGGUCUCUUCUGACGCUGAAGCACGAAAGCUAGGGGAGCGAAGGG